rnacentral:rRNA from 1 species
AGAGUUUGAUCAUGGCUCAGAACGAACGCUGGCGGCAGGCUUAACACAUGCAAGUCGAACGCCCCGCAAGGGGAGUGGCAGACGGGUGAGUAACACGUGGGAACAUGCCCAAAGGUACGGAACAACUCCGGGAAACUGGAGCUAAUACCGUAUGUGCCCGAGAGGGGAAAGAUUUAUCGCCUUUGGAUUGGCCCGCGUUGGAUUAGCUAGUUGGUGGGGUAAAAGCCUACCAAGGCGACGAUCCAUAGCUGGUCUGAGAGGACGACCAGCCACACUGGGACUGAGACACGGCCCAGACUCCUACGGGAGGCAGCAGUGGGGAAUCUUGGACAAUGGGCGCAAGCCUGAUCCAGCCAUGCCGCGUGGAUGAUGAAGGCCCUAGGGUUGUAAAAUCCUUUCGUUGGGGACGAUAAUGACGGUACCCAAAGAAGAGUC